rnacentral:rRNA from 1 species
AGUGAACGCUGGCGGUAGGCCUAACACAUGCAAGUCGAACGGCAGCACAGAGGAGCUUGCUCCUUGGGUGGCGAGUGGCGGACGGGUGAGGAAUACAUCGGAAUCUACUCUGUCGUGGGGGAUAUCGUAGGGAAACUUACGCUAAUACCGCAUACGACCUACGGGUGAAAGCAGGGGAUCUUCGGACCUUGCGCGAUUGAAUGAGCCGAUGUCGGAUUAGCUAGUUGGCGGGGUAAAGGCACACCAAGGCGACGAUCCGUAGCUGGUCUGGGAGGAUGAGAAGCCACACUGGAACUGAGACACGGUCCAGACUCCUACGGGAGGGAGCAGUGGGGAAUAUUGGACAAUGGGCGCAAGCCUGAUCCAGCCAUACCGCGUGGGUGAAGAAGGCCUUCGGGUUGUAAAGCCCUUUUGUUGGGAAAGAAAUCCAUCUGGUUAAUACCCGGGUGGGAUGACGGUACCCAAAGAAUAAGCACCGGCUAACUUCGUGCCAGCCGCCGCAGUAA